GAUUGCAAAUUUGGAUUUUCCAUUUAGUAAACCGUCCUGUAAGGUGAAAAUAUUAUCUAUUACCGACCAGAAAGAUGGACUUUUUGUGUGUUUACUUUGCCCCCCCCCCUGCAGUUACCAGUCUCACAUAACAGACGGUUUAUAUUCAGCUGCUGUGGCUUGAUACUUAACCGGCUAUUUCCCUUCACGCUGGGAUAAACAACAACACAGCUUUCGGAGGAAACUCAAUGCCUUUUAAUGUGGGAGUAUCUGUGGACUUCAGUAAAUUAUUACACAUUUCUGGUAACUGAGAUUAAGAAAAUAAAUCUUUCUUCCCACGUUCUGUAAUAGAAUGUGACCCUUACUGACAGUUGUGUCUGUUUAACUUUGAGCACGAGACCUAAAAUCUAAAAACGUAUUUAUAGUCUUUUGAGAAAGCCCGAUGUCUUCAGAAGUGGCUGGCACCGGUCUAUAUUUGCACACGCUAUCUGCUUUGCAGGGAGGGCGGUUUGUGUUGGUCUGUAAUUAAAACAGAGGUCUUUCUGCUCUGGUGUUUCCCUGAUCUGAUAAAAACAAGUGUAGAGGAAAUCUCGCUUCUGGGAGAAGAAGCUGGUAAUGGGGAAGGUUAAUGCUGUUCGUGAUGGAUCACUGUUACAGGCUUCACAUGCCAAUGGAAUAACUUCGAGAAGGCACGCAGCCAGCAUGUGACAAAAUGAUCCAGCUCCAGCAAUGGAUCACAGGGAUUAAACAUUUAGGAGGUCUUAAAUAAUAGUUAAGUAGGAAUUGCCUGCUUUAAUGUUUCACUUUGUAAUCUGACUCAACACUGAGUACAGAGAGUGACAAAUCAGGGACUUUCACAUUAGAUAUCUCACACAAAUUUUUUUUUUUUGUUUGGCUGGGCAUCCAUUUCUGUUAAUUAGAGCCCCUUGCAGCUCCUGGCCGUC